UGGUAGAGAUGAAGAUAGAGUCCAAGCUGUUUGACAUGAACUAAAGAAAAUGGUUGGCUGGAUUUAGUAGUCGAGUUGAUUUCUCACUGGAAUACUUGCAUGAUAAUAUUUAGGGUCCAAGUUGUUUGCUCGGAACUGAUGAAAUGGAUGGCUGAAUUCAAUGGUCGAUAAUAUUUGUAUGAUAAUAUUUAGGAUCCAAAUUGGAUGGCUGAAUUCAAUGAUCGAAUUGAUUUCUUGCUGGAUUCAAUGGUCGAGUUGAUUUCUUG
rnacentral:lncRNA from 1 species